AUAGGGAAGUACGGUGAGAAAUGUUCCCAAGUGUGUAAAUUUUGUCGGAAUUCUGUCUGUGAUCCUGUGGAUGGAUUCUGUAUGCAGGGAUGUACCGAGGGUUAUCAGGGACCUCUCUGCAAUAAAGUAUGUAAUGCUGGAUUUUAUGGCAAUAACUGUAAAAAAGAGUGCAGCCUCUUCUGCAAGACAUCACGUGACUGCCAUCACGUGACCGGAAAUUGUAAAGACGGAUGUAUAGGAGGGUGGCGGGGUGCAGAGUGUUUGCAAAUUGUAGAAACAGGAGUAUGGCACUCCAGAUUUAAUGGUGUUCUUGCAGGCCUGUGCCUAAGCAUAGGAACGAUCUCGGGAUUGAUAUUCUACAUA